rnacentral:rRNA from 1 species
GGUUGACCUCGGAUCAGGUAGGAAUACCCGCUGAACUUAAGCAUAUCAAUAAGCGGAGGAAAAGAAACCAACAGGGAUUGCCUCAGUAACGGCGAGUGAAGCGGCAACAGCUCAAAUUUGAAAUCUGGCCUUGGCCCGAGUUGUAAUUUGUAGAGGAUGUUUCGGGCACGGCGCCUUCCGAGUUCCCUGGAACGGGACGCCACAGAGGGUGAGAGCCCCGUAUGGUUGGAUGCCUAGCCUAUGUGAAACUCCUUCGACGAGUCGAGUAGUUUGGGAAUGCUGCUCAAAAUGGGAGGUAAAUUUCUUCUAAAGCUAAAUACUGGCCAGAGACCGAUAGCGCACAAGUAGAGUGAUCGAAAGAUGAAAAGCACUUUGAAAAGAGGGUUAAACAGCACGUGAAAUUGUUGAAAGGGAAGCGCUUGUAACCAGACUUGGGCCCGGGGGAUCCUCCAGCGUUCUCGCUGGUGUACUCCGCCAGGCCCAGGCCAGCAUCGGUUUCUUUAGGGGGAUAAAAGCUUCAGGAACGUGGCUCCUUCUGGAGUGUUAUAGCCUGUUGCACAAUACCCUUCAGGGGACCGAGGUACGCGUUCGCAAGGAUGCUGGCGUAAUGGUCAUCAGCGGCCCGUCUUGAAACACGGACCAAGGAGUCAAGCAUUAGGGCGAGUGUUUGGGUGCUAAACCCGCACGCGUAAUGAAAGUGAACGUAGGUGAGAGCUUCGGCGCAUCAUCGACCGAUCCUGAUGUUCUCGGAUGGAUUUGAGUAAGAGCCUUACCGCUUGGACCCGAAAGAUGGUGAACUAUGCCUGUAUAGGGUGAAGCCAGAGGAAACUCUGGUGGAGGCUCGCAGCGGUUCUGACGUGCAAAUCGAUCGUCAAAUAUGGGCAUGGGGGCGAAAGACUAAUCGAACCGUCUAGUAGCUGGUUACCGCCGAAGUUUCCCUCAGGAUAGCAGUGUUGUUUUCAGUUUUAUGAGGUAAAGCGAAUGAUUAGGGACUCGGGGGCGCUAUUUAGCCUUCAUCCAUUCUCAAACUUUAAAUAUGUAAGAAGCCCUUGUUACUUAGCUGAACGUGGGCCUUCGAAUGCAGCAACACUAGUGGGCCAUUUUUGGUAAGCAGAACUGGCG